GUUAUGUCAUGUUAUCGAUAUGUGAAUACAUAGCAUAUCAGAAGGCACACCCGGAGAACUGAAACAUCUUAGUACCCGGAGGAAGAGAAAGAAAAUUCGAUUCCCUUAGUAGCGGCGAGCGAAACGGGAAGAGCCCAAACCAACAAGCUUGCUUGUUGGGGUUGUAGGACACUCUAUACGGAGUUACAAAGGACGACAUUAGACGAAUCAUCUGGAAAGAUGAAUCAAAGAAGGUAAUAAUCCUGUAGUCGAAAAUGUUGUCUCUCUUGAGUGGAUCCUGAGUACGACGGAGCACGUGAAAUUCCGUCGGAAUCUGGGAGGACCAUCUCCUAAGGCUAAAUACUCUCUAGUGACCGAU
rnacentral:rRNA from 1 species